rnacentral:tRNA from 1 species
UCCCUGGUGGCUCAGACGGUAAAGAAUCCGCCUGCUAUGAGGGAGACCUGGGUUCGAUCCCUGGCUUGGGAA